rnacentral:pre_miRNA from 1 species
AGGAACAACAACAGUAGAGGCAGCCAGCUCUGGAGCCCUGGAGUCAGCUCCCGCAGUAACUCCGGAGCUCUCCGUCUGCAGGGCCUGGAGGCUCUGGGGCGGG